UACGUAGGGGGCUAGCGUUGUUCGGAUUUACUGGGCGUAAAGAGCGCGUAGGUGGUUUGAUAAGUUAGAAGUGAAAUCCCGGAGCUCAACUUCGGAACUGCUUCUAAAACUGUUUAACUAGAGUGUGGUAGGGGGUAAUAGAAUUCCUAGUGUAGAAGUGAAAUUCUUAGAUAUUAGGAGGAAUACCGAUGGCGAAGGCGAUUACCUGGGCCAUAACUGACACUAAUGCGCGAAAGCGUGGGGAGCAAACAGGAUUAGAUACCCUGGUAGUCCACGCAGUAAAUGGUGAGUGCUAGAUAUUGGGAAUUUUUAUUUUCAGUCUCGCAGCUAACGCAUUAAGCACUCCGCCUGGGGAGUACGAUCGCAAGAUUAAAACUCAAAGGAAUUGACGGGGGCCUGCACAAGCGGUGGAGCAUGCGGUUUAAUUCGAUGCUACGCGAAAAACCUUACCAACCCUUGACAUGUUGGUCGCGGAAACAGAGAUGUUUCUUUCAGUUCGGCUGGACCAAACACAGGUGUUGCACGGCUGUCGUCAGCUCGUGUCGUGAGAUGUUGGGCUAAGUCCCGCAACGAGCGCAACCCUCAUUUUUAUUUGCCAGCGGGUUAUGCCGGGAACUAUAAAGAAACUGCCAGCGUAAGCUGGAGGAAGGUGGGGACGACGUCAAGUCAUCAUGGCCCUUACGGGUUGGGCUACACGCGUGCUACAAUGGUAACUACAGAGAGGAGCAAAUCCGCAAGGUGGAGCAAAUCUUCAAAAGUUAUCUCAGUUCGGAUUGGACUCUGAAACUCGAGUCCAUGAAGCCGGAAUCGCUAGUAAUCGCGGAUCAGAAUGCCGCGGUGAAUACGUUCCCAGGCCU
rnacentral:rRNA from 1 species